rnacentral:rRNA from 1 species
AGUAAUGCCUGGGAAACUGCCUGAUGGAGGGGGAUAACUACUGGAAACGGUAGCUAAUACCGCAUAACGUCGCAAGACCAAAGAGGGGGACCUUCGGGCCUCUUGCCAUCGGAUGUGCCCAGAUGGGAUUAGCUAGUAGGUGGGGUAACGGCUCACCUAGGCGACGAUCCCUAGCUGGUCUGAGAGGAUGACCAGCCACACUGGAACUGAGACACGGUCCAG